UAUAACUCUCCCUACAGGAUGCCAAUGUAGUAAAAACAUUAUUUUCCUAGAUACCUAAAUUACAGCAGAGUACUCCUUAAAUUUGGAGUUCUCUUGACUUAUUUGAGCAAUCUGGCAUGUGACAGGAAAGGUUUGGGGCUCUGUUGAGCCAUUUGAGAACCAGACCCAAGGGUGUGGAGAUCUCGCGGUGGAGAUCGCAGUUUAUGUAACUAUGGAAUGUGGCCAAGCUGGGAAACCCUUUCGGCUGUGAACUCGGCAACAGACUCAUCCAUUGAUGGAGUUAGUAUCCUCGUGAUUCAGUUCCUCCUCAGUAAGACCGUCAGACCGGAGCCAAGUUUUCAACACAUCUUUUUAGGAAGGGCACUUCAUAUCCAAACCAUAACUGAAAAAUCUGGAAGGGCUUCUUCCUCAGAAACAGUAAGUUAUCUACUUCCAUAACAACAACCACUUCUCUACUCAAAAUGGAACUGACAAGCAUCACAAAUCAAAACAACAGGGAAGGAAACCCUAUUCUUGUUGAAUGACCGCACAGCUGAUGGGACUAUGAUUAUGGAGUUCUUUGUGGAUGUAACCAUGCAUAAGAAGUACCUUGAGAGUUCUCAUAAAAUAAAUAAAAACUCUUCUAAUCUCUUGUUCAAAGAUCAA